GAUGAACGCUGGCGGCGUGCCUAAUACAUGCAAGUCGAGCGAAUGGAUUGAGAGCUUGCUCUUAUGAAGUUAGCGGCGGACGGGUGAGUAACACGUGGGUAACCUGUCCAUAAGACUGGGAUAACUCCGGGAAACCGGGGCUAAUACCGGAUAACAUUUUGAACCGCAUGGUUCGAAAUUGAAAGGCGGCUUCGGCUGUCACUUAUGGAUGGACCCGCGUCGGAUUAGCUAGUUGGUGAGGUAACGGUUCACCAAGGCAACGAUGCGUAGCCGACCUGAGAGGGUGAUCGGCCACACUGGGACUGAGACACGGCCCAGACUCCUACGGGAGGCAGCAGUAGGGAAUCUUCCGCAAUGGACGAAAGUCUGACGGAGCAACGCCGCGUGAGUGAUGAAGGCUUUCGGGUCGUAAAACUCUGUUGUUAGGGAAGAACAAGUGCUAGUUGAAUAAGCUGGCACCUUGACGGUACCUAACCAGAAAGCCACGGCUAACUACGUGCCAGCAGCCGCGGUAA
rnacentral:rRNA from 1 species